GAGUGGAGGUGGGGGUGAGGAUCAGUUUUCUGGUGAGCACACUUGAAAGGUUGAGAAAUUGACAUCUCAUGUUGAUUUAGACACCAACUCUAAGUUGGGAGGCAGAUGGUGGGUCAUCAGGGGAUAGAGUAUGGGCCUUAAAUAAGUGGCUUACUACCUUUUUCAAUCAGUGUGUUUGAGGAAAUGAAGCCAAGGUAAUUCAUGAGUGGGAUUUUCUUAAUCCUGCCAUUCAGGGCCAUCUGCCUCAUAAUUGACAUCAGUUUCACCCAGAUCCAAACCUUAGGUUACCUGUCAGUUUUAGUCUUUGAUAUUGUGAAAUCUUUUUUUCUAGAUUCGAGGGAAUGUUUGGAGAAGUUAGGCCAGGAUAUAUUUGGGGGGCAAAGGGCAAUGUAUCAUUUUGAAUUGAAUGUGUGCAUGGAACCAUGUAGAUAGGUCAGGGGUUAGCAAAUUUUUUAUGUGGGACUAGGUAGUAAAUAUUGUAAAUUUUGCAGGUCAAGGGGCAAAAUUAAAGCUAUUCUGUAGAUACUAACAUAAUGAAACAAAUUUCAACAUAUAUUUUAUCGAUGAUGCUUAAAAUGUAAUAGUAAUAACUGAGUGCAGUUUUUGGUAAUACAUGUCUACUAAUUAGAAGAAUAAGAGUCUUUGUUUUUGGAAUACAUUUUCCUUAAUUAGGGUUCAAAAUUAGUAUUCCCUAUCAUCAGAUUAGUUUGCAAAUGUUCAUCUGUUAAAGCUGAUCUGUAAUGGGAUUUUAUGUAUUUCAUUUUUGAAAAUGUCUUUACAUGUUCUGGAAAAAAAAAUGCACUGCCAAACAAUGACAUCAAUCCAUGAGCAUAUGAUUUUGAGUAUAUUCAUUGCAUAUAAGGCAUUUAGAGAAUUCUAUUAGAUUCUUC
rnacentral:lncRNA from 1 species